ACAUACAGAAGAGUUUAGUUACGGGAAAACGUGUUUGCUCUCUGCCCACCUAUGUCCUUGAAACCCAAGUUUCAGGCAGCCGGCGCAGAGCGGUGACAGUGAUAACGUCUUCGGCCCACGAGCUGCUGUAAAGCCGCGUCUUUUUGAGGGGUCUCAGAGGGAUCUCUGAGUAGAAGUCUUGGACAUGCAGGAGGUUACUGCUUAGAGCAGGUGCUACCUGUUCUGAGGAAUGCUUAGGCAGGGCCUCACGGAUGGAGAGCGUCUUAGCAUCCUGAUGUUAAUUCAGAUGAAGAUUAUCUACAGCCAAUGUCCUUAAUAGCAUCCCCUGUUCUUGGCAGCCUGGCUAUCAUGAUGGAGAAGUUACAGGAGUUCAUUUUAUGGUGGUGUGAGAAUGGGUCCACUGACUACCUUGUCAGAAGUGAAAUGGCCUGGGACAUGAUACAGAGAACAGAGACAUAGCUUCAGUAAAGCUGAUGCAGUCAAAUU